GAACGCAGCAUCAAGAAACAUUUAGUCUCUCUGCAUAUAUACAUACACAUAUACAUUCCAAGGAAGAAGACUUACCAAUCCUCGUGGCGAUGGGCUACAAGAAGAUUCAGGUCUUGGUCACUGUUGCGCUGCUGAUGGCUCUCCUCACCGCAGUUGCGUCGGCGGGCAGGAGCAGUUUCCAGCUGGAGCCGGAAGCUAAAGCUCGAUGCACCAGAGUUGGAGCCUGUUCGACUAGCUUGUGCACGUCCCGCUGCGACAAGCAUUCUGCAGGGUCAUGCAUUAUCAGGGGCCAGUUCGUCUACUGCUGCUGUAACCCAGUACCGAUCGCCAAUGGCCCCGAUGUCCAGCCGCUUCUUUAUUGAUCCAUUCGCCUUUUUGCUUGACGCGUAUGGUUGAGCUAUUGGUUAUUUUAUACCUAUUGUUGGCUGAUUUGUUGUGAGAGAAAAACACUGCUAGAUGGCUACAGACUCAGUUGGUUAGGCUGAUAGUGGGCGAUGAGUGUGGUUAGGCUGUUGCUGAGUGGUGGCAACUCACAUAUCUGUAAUACAAGUUGUGGAUCGGAGUAUUGUGUGUUUUCAUACGUUUCUGGGUGGUGCCAUUUGUAGUUGGUCGAUCGGAGUAUUGUGUGUUUUAUUUUAAAGAAGACAUGUCAUUCAGUUUGGUUUUAUGUUGAGUCCGCGGUACCAUUGUUGGUGGUUUUUUUACUUGUGUGUUCGCUCUUGUGUCAGGGUCUUUUGCUGCGGCUCCGAUAUGGUGCCAUUGUUGGAUAUCCUCUUACUUGUUAAGCUAG
rnacentral:lncRNA from 1 species